rnacentral:tRNA from 1 species
GGAAGGUUACUCAAGAGGCUGAAGAGGCGCCCCUGCUAAGGGUGUAGGUCGCUAAGUCGGCGCAAGGGUUCAAAUCCCUUACCUUCCGCCA